CCUCGAAAGGACAAAAAAAUCAGAAAAAGGCUAAGAGGGUGUUUAGGGAGCUGCCAAUCUGAUUUAUAAGAAGGAGAGAUAUAUAACUUGUCUGUAAAGGAAGAUCACUUCAGCAAGACAUCUGGGAGUGAUAGAUUUAAUAACUUCUAUGUUGUUGUUUGUGAGUUUUUUUUUUUUUUGAAUUUAUUUUUGAAUAGUUUGC
rnacentral:lncRNA from 1 species